rnacentral:rRNA from 1 species
AGUGAACGCUGGCGGUAGGCCUAACACAUGCAAGUCGAACGGCAGCACAGUAAGAGCUUGCUCUUACGGGUGGCGAGUGGCGGACGGGUGGGGAAUACAUCGGAAUCUACUUUUUUGUGGGGGAUAACGUAGGGAAACUUACGCUAAUACAGCAUACGACCUACGGGUGAAAGCAGGGGAUCUUGGGACCUUGCGCGAUUGAAUGAGCCGAUGGCGGAUUAGCUAGUUGGCGGGGUAAAGGCCCACUAAGGCGACGAUCGGUAGCCGGUCUGAGAGGAUGUAGAGGCACAGUGGGGCUGAGACGCGGCCCAGACUCCUACGGGAGGCAGCGGUGGGGAAUGUUGGCAGAUGGGCGGAAGCCUGCUCAAGCCGUACCGGGUGGGUGAAGAAGGCCUGCGGGUUGUAAAGCCCUUUUGUUGGGGAAGACCAGCUUCAGCUGAAUCCCCGGCUGUGCUGACGGUACCCGAAGAAUAAGCACCGGCUAACUUCGUG